CCUAUGGGUGGCAGCAGUGGGGAAUAUUGCACAAUGGGGGAAACCCUGAUGCAGCAACGCCGCGUGAGUGAGGAAGUAUUUCGGUAUGUAAAGCUCUAUCAGCAGGGAAUAGAAAAGAAGGUACCUGAAGAAGAAGCCUCGGCUAACUACGUGCCAGCAGCCGCGGUAAAACGGAGGGGCCAAGCGUUAUCCGGAAUUACUGGGUGUAAAGGGAGGGUAGACGGAAAGGCAAGUCAGAAGGGAAAGCCCAAGGCUCAAACAUGGGACUGCUUUUGAAACGGUUAAACUAGAGUACGCGCAGGGUAAGUGGAAUUCGUAGUGUAGCGGUGAAAUGCGUAGAUAUUAGGAGGAACACCAGUGGCGAAGGCGUCGUACUGGACCGAAACUGACGUUGAGGCUCGAAAGUGCGGGGAGCAAACAGGAUUAGAUACCCGUGUAGUC
rnacentral:rRNA from 1 species